rnacentral:lncRNA from 1 species
GAUGCUCAUUGGCUGCCAAAAGGUAAAGACUAUCAGACAAUUGGAAACUAUAAGGCUGAAGUAAAAGAUGUGUGAGGACUUGUUCAUGAAGACUGCAACCCAUUCAAAGGCAAGACAAGGACUAGGAUGAGUUUUGCCUGCCUGGUCAGUCAACCCCAUGACAUUAUGAGAUAGGGAGAUGCAGGUUCAGCUGAAGACAGCCUGUCUGCAUGGCAAGAGACAGCACACUCUG